GAUGAACGCUGGCGGCGUGCCUAAUACAUGCAAGUCGAGCGAACAGACGAGGAGCUUGCUCCUCUAACGUUAGCGGCGGACGGGUGAGUAACACGUGGAUAACCUACCUAUAAGACUGGGAUAACUUCGGGAAACCGGAGCUAAUACCGGAUAAUAUAUUGAACCGCAUGGUUCAAUAGUGAAAGACGGUUUUGCUGUCACUUAUAGAUGGAUCCGCGCCGCAUUAGCUAGUUGGUAAGGUAACAGCUUACCAAGGCAACGAUGCGUAGCCGACCUGAGAGGAUGAUCGGCCACACUGGAACUGAGACACGGUCCAGACUCCUACGGGAGGCAGCAGUAGGGAAUCUUCCGCAAUGGGCGAAAGCCUGACGGAGCAACGCCGCGUGAGUGAUGAAGGUCUUCGGAUCGUAAAACUCUGUUAUUAGGGAAGAACAAAUGUGUAAGUAACUAUGCACGUCUUGACGGUACCUAAUCAGAAAGCCACGGCUAACUACGUG
rnacentral:rRNA from 1 species